AGAAACUUAGGAUAACCAUCAAACCGAAG
rnacentral:tRNA from 1 species